GACGAACGCUGGCGGCGUGCUUAACACAUGCAAGUCGAACGGAAAGGCCCUGCUUUUGUGGGGUGCUCGAGUGGCGAACGGGUGAGUAACACGUGAGUAACCUGCCCUUGACUUUGGGAUAACUUCAGGAAACUGGGGCUAAUACCGGAUAGGAGCUCCUGCUGCAUGGUGGGGGUUGGAAAGUUUCGGCGGUUGGGGAUGGACUCGCGGCUUAUCAGCUUGUUGGUGGGGUAGUGGCUUACCAAGGCUUUGACGGGUAGCCGGCCUGAGAGGGUGACCGGCCACAUUGGGACUGAGAUACGGCCCAGACUCCUACGGGAGGCAGCAGUGGGGAAUAUUGCACAAUGGGCGGAAGCCUGAUGCAGCAACGCCGCGUGCGGGAUGACGGCCUUCGGGUUGUAAACCGCUUUCGCCUGUGACGAAGCGUGAGUGACGGUAAUGGGUAAAGAAGCACCGGCUAACUACGUGCCAGCAGCCGCGGUGAUACGUAGGGUGCGAGCGUUGUCCGGAUUUAUUGGGCGUAAAGGGCUCGUAGGUGGUUGAUCGCGUCGGAAUGUAAUCUUGGGGCUUAACCCUGAGCGUGCUUUCGAUACGGGUUGACUUGAGGAAGGUAGGGGAGAAUGGAAUUCCUGGUGGAGCGGUGGAAUGCGCAGAUAUCAGGAGGAACACCAGUGGCGAAGGCGGUUCUCUGGGCCUUUCCUGACGCUGAGGAGCGAAAGCGUGGGGAGCGAACAGGCUUAGAUACCCUGGUAGUCCACGCUGUAAACGGUGGGUACUAGGUGUGGGGUCCAUUCCACGGGUUCCGUGCCGUAGCUAACGCUUUAAGUACCCCGCCUGGGGAGUACGGCCGCAAGGCUAAAACUCAAAGGAAUUGACGGGGCCCCGCACAAGCGGCGGAGCAUGCGGAUUAAUUCGAUGCAACGCGUAGAACCUUACCUGGGUUUGACAUGGAUCGGGAGUGCUCAGAGAUGGGUGUGCCUCUUUUGGGGUCGGUUCACAGGUGGUGCAUGGCUGUCGUCAGCUCGUGUCGUGAGAUGUUGGGUUAAGUCCCGCAACGAGCGCAACCCUUGUUCACUGUUGCCAGCACGUUAUGGUGGGGACUCAGUGGAGACCGCCGGGGUCAACUCGGAGGAAGGUGGGGAUGACGUCAAGUCAUCAUGCCCCUUAUGUCCAGGGCUUCACGCAUGCUACAAUGGCUGGUACAGAGAGUGGCGAGCCUGUGAGGGUGAGCGAAUCUCGGAAAGCCGGUCUCAGUUCGGAUUGGGGUCUGCAACUCGACCUCAUGAAGUCGGAGUCGCUAGUAAUCGCAGAUCAGCAACGCUGCGGUGAAUACGUUCCCGGG
rnacentral:rRNA from 1 species